AGCUUUUGUGACUUGCAUUUUUGUUAUGAUUUCUAGGGUUUGAAGAGUCAAAGAAACUUCUUCUCCAUAGUAUUUGUGUGAAUAAACUUCACGCAGUGACCAGGUCGUCGACUGUUGCUUCAUUUGUUAGUUGAAUCUGAGGGAGAUAAUCAUCUACCUUUAUAGGAGAAGCUUCCUCUUUGUGGAUUAGAUCCACCAUAAUCUCCACUAAACUUUUGAUCUUGAAAAACCAUAUUAUGAUUUGGUUGAGUAUCUUCCACUAUAUCAUAGUUGUGUAUCAGAUUAUUCAGAGUUAGCUCAUUCCAUUUAGGAGACUAAUGCCUGUACAAAGCCAAACAUCCCUCUUUCUAGGGAAAAUUUGGAUAAAACCUCCAACUCCUUUCACCCACUUGACCUUGUGGGAGAAAGAAUUGAACGUCUUAUUGAUAUCAUGCUUGCCUAUCUUGAAAUCUCUACAGGUCUUGAGGAAGGCAGAACCAACCCAAUUAAUUGGGCGGAGUUCAAAGUUAUUUUUGGAGUUCAAAGUUUAGCCGAGGUUGUGGUGGAUCUAUUAACGAAGAGGCAUCUUCUCCUCUAGAGGUGGAGGAUUUACUGGUCACACUGAAUGUUUCUAUUGAUGGAAUUUCUCUUAUCAAGCAUCUGAUAAACUUCCUCAAGUCCUAUGUACAACAAACUUACAGCACACAGAGGAUGAGAACAACACCAUAUGAUAAAUUUUACAGGAUUCCCUCAUCGGUUCUCAAGAUGGAACUCCCAUUUUCAAAUUGUAUGAUACUCAUCCUGCCUCCAAUGUCCCUCAGCUCCAGUGUGAGCACUUUAAAUUUUGAAUGCAAGAACAAAGCUGAGGAGCCGACUAUUUCAGGGGAAGUGUUGACAAGAGGUGAAAAGUUACGUCACUGAGCCAGUUGACGUUAUUGUUGUUCCAAGUGAGCCAACUGAUGCUAGCUAGUAUAUCAGAUGAAUUGAUCGAUGAGUCAACUGAGACUGCUGUAAGAAAUGAGUCGAUUGAGGCUAUUGUACCAAGAAUAAGAAGUCGGAGAGAAACAACAACUCCAUGUUACCUUGAUGACUUUGUUUGCAAUGUUGUGAAAGCAUAAUUAGCUAUUCCACACUGGCAUAUCGCAAUGCAAGAGGAGCUGGUAGCACUAAAAAAGAAUGAUAUAUGGAGCCUUGACUCUUGUUCCCAGAAAAGCAGGAAGCUAUUAUGAAUGGGAAUUGGAGCUGACUUCAUUGUUAUGUGGUUAACUUUCUUAUGUUCUGCUAUCAUAGCCAUCGGUGCAAAAGGAUUCAAUCAGAUACAUAUUUAUCAAAGACAACUGCAACUGAUGUUUCAAGUUCAAAGACAAGCACGUACGGAAGUGAACUUAAAGGUUGCCGAGUAUGUUAAGACAGGGCCAGUAGCUUCCAAUGGAAAUGAGGCUUAACUGUAGAAGAGAGUAAAGAAAUAUUUUGCAUUCUGUAGCUGCAUCUUGGCCAACCAAUAUGUAAAAUGCUAUCAUUUUUUCCCCAUCCCAAGUGCAUUAUAGUGGGACCCCUAGGUCACUUAGAUUGUUCUUCGCUAGCAUCAAGAUCUGUUUGAUUGGGACAAAAAACUCUUCUUUCGGUUACUAUUGAAUUUUCUGAUUGAUUGGGACGUUUUA